rnacentral:rRNA from 1 species
UACGGGGGGGGCAAGCGUUGUUCGGAAUUACUGGGCGUAAAGGGCUCGUAGGUGGCCAACUACGUCAGACGUGAAAUCCCUCAGCUUAACUGGGGAACUGCGUCUGAUACUGGAUGGCUUGAGUUUGGGAGAGGGAUGCGGAAUUCCAGGUGUAGCGGUGAAAUGCGUAGAUAUCUGGAGGAACACCGGUGGCGAAGGCGGCAUCCUGGACCAAUACUGACACUGAGGAGCGAAAGCCAGGGGAGCAAGCGGG